AGCUUGCGUGAGGGACAGAUUGAAUAUGUCCACAAACACGCCAGCCAGUUCUGAAAAGCAAACCCUGAGUGCAUGGCUGGGGAUGUUGUCUGGGCCAGCUGCUCUCCGUGGGUUUAUUCUUUUCAAGCUCUGAUCGACUGCGAUGUGGCCAGGAACUUCAGAUCAGUUGUCUGGCAUGGAAAAACUUCAGAUCCCAGUAAAGACCGUCUAGACAGUUCUGAAAAUGGCCACUUUAGACGGAGGACCAGUUGGUUUGGGGACCAUAUCCCAAGUCACCACACCCUUGGGAUUACAGACUAGUGCUCUUCAGUCCCAUGUGCAACAUGUCUGAGCUGUGAUCCAAUGACUUUUAAAAGAACAAUUUGUUCCUUAAAGGAGAAAAGUGUGAAUUCCACCUACAGUCAGUGUCCUUCUUGGGUUACUUCAUCAGCCAAUCAUCAGAGAAUUAUCAUGGAUGACCAGGGCCCUUGGACCAAAUGUCACGCCACCGGAGGAAAUAGAUGGGGCUCCAGUCUAUGCUGUCUGUAGGCUGCUGGACUCCAGGAAAUGGGGUGGGCUCCUUCAAUACCUGGUGGACUGGGAGGUGUAUGGCCCCAAGGAACAAUGUUGGGUGCCAGCUGAAGACAUGUUAGACCCUGGUCUCUUCAUGGACUUUCAUAGUCAGCUCUCAGAAAAAGCCAACUCCUUGUCCCAGGGGUCGUCUGCGUAAGAGGCUCACCAGUUCUCUACCUGCCUGUCUGAGGAAUGCUCAUGAGGAGAAUCCACCUGUGCAGUGCCUCAGCAGCUCUGGUUCAGCCCCUGUUCGAAAACCCGGUGGUGAGAGUGGUGGUUGUCCUCAUGCCGAGGCCCACCUGGGUGGGGGUACCGUCACACAUCCGGCAAGCUCUCAAGAAGAGACGCACUUCACAUUCCAGAAUCCCAUGGGAGAUCAUGUGACUGAGCGACCUCACUCAGACUUGGACUCCGACAGAGACUCCAUUGCCCAUAGUUCAAAGAAUCUCAUGUGACUUCUGACUCUCAUUUGAGAUCCUAUCAGCGCUCACAUUCCCCAGAAUACUAACUGGAUUCACCUGUGUGUUUUGUUAUAUGACAAAAGCAGUUAGUAUAUAAGCCUGGGUUUCAGUUAGAAACCUACUGAGUUUUGUUAUUCUGAUUGUCUGUAU